rnacentral:rRNA from 1 species
UACGGAAGGUCCGGGCGUUAUCCGGAUUUAUUGGGUUUAAAGGGAGCGUAGGCGGCCUGUUAAGCGUGUUGUGAAAGUCCGCGGCUCAACCGUGGGAGUGCAGCGCGAACUGGCUGGCUUGAGUAGGCGGAAGGAAGGCGGAAUUCGUGGUGUAGCGGUGAAAUGCUUAGAUAUCACGAAGAACUCCGAUUGCGAAGGCAGCUUUCCGUAGCCUUACUGACGCUGAAGCUCGAAGGUGCGGGUAU